AUGGGGAGAUUCAUCGGCAACGGUGCUGGCUCCCGUUGGUGCGCGAUGCUCCGGAUGAAUCCUCGUGGUUCAUCGGCGAGGGCACACCACCUUCGGCUUGAACGUUCCGGCAUCGUAUUCGUGCACUUCUCCCCUAGUAAAACGUCCCGACCCGUUGUGUGUCGGUCUACGGCCCGAGAGGGCGCCUGUCGCGUCGCUUCGCGCGCACGCGGCAAACCCUCGGUCGCCUGGCCGGCUGCACGACGGUACUCGCACGGUAUCGGGCCGCAACCAAUCCAUUUUUUCAAAUGUGUGUGCGUCAGGCCCGCCGCAAGCUCGGUCAGUUCUUACCCGGAGGUACGGACCUGGUGCCGUCCCCGGGCCUGGCCAGCUGUUAGCAGGCGGUGUCCUUGGACUGGCCAAGACUCGAAUUACCGGUCGGCGACGCUAUUGCUUUGGGUACUCUCAGGACCCGUCUUGAAACACGGACCAAGGAGUCUAACAUGUGCGCGAGUCAUUGGGAUGCAAAAACCUAAAGGCGAAAUGAAAGUGAAGAUCUUACUUUGUGCCGAUCGAAGGAGGAUGGGCCGCGUUACUAUGCGGCCCCGCACUCCCGGGGCGUCUCGUUCUCAUUGCGAGAAGAGGCGC
rnacentral:rRNA from 1 species